rnacentral:lncRNA from 1 species
GGAAGUUGGGGAGUCCUCCGCUGUCACGACUCGGAGUAUCGCGUGAUCUGGAAAUCGAGAACAAUGCAACGAUUACUGGACUCGGACUAGGACUGGUGGCGGAGAUGAAACUGGUGGAACUCGGACUGGUGGCUGAGAUGAAUCUGGUGGAACUCGGACUGGUGGCGGAUAUAUGUUGCAGGUGGACUCGGAUGGGCGUGAUGGCGGCGGAUAUGUGGUGGCGUAUAUGGAUUCGGAUUGGCGGUGAAUAUGUGGUGGUGGUAUAUGGCAGCGGCGACGUGACAACCUGUGAACAGAACUCGAAACUCUAAAAGACUAGACGCUAAGACCAGCAACUUGACACGACGAUGCAACCGCAAAUUCAACAAAGCAAAUAUAGAAAAGAUUAUGCAAAGGCUCAGAUUGGUUCGGAUGGGAUAAACUAACCCUAAUUUUUUUUUGGCUUUUUCGUGGACUAUAGGUAUGAAGAACAGACUCGAUCUAAACUACGAAAAACUGUAAAAUCUCACCGAGCAACCUGGAAAUCUGAUACCACUUGAUAGAGGCAAAGGUGUCUCGUCUUUCGAUGAGAUGAUGGAUAUUGCUUUGGUGGAAGUCGACUUUGACGAUCCGACUAUGAACGUGUGAGGACGUCGCGCCUUAGCAAUCGCUAAACCAACUCCGAGAGGUUAUUGACCACGCCGGAGCACGAUCAACCUGACCACGAGGGUCUGUUUCCUGCGAGCAAACGAAGAACAAGCAAGAAACUAAGAUUGCAAUCUGGAUAUUGCGAAUAUAAGAUGAAAGCUUUAUUGAUCAAGGUGGGGUUCUGUGACGCCUUUGUCUGGUCGUUGAACACAAACGAAGUACGCGAAGUUGCAGCUAUGGCGAACUUUUAAUCUAAACAAAACCCAAAGUCUAAACGAUGCCCUAAGGGCUGUAUAUAUGGAGGAAGAGGGGGGAAUUUCGUGGCCCUUGGUGGAGGGGUCCGAAAUCAACCCUAUCUCUUGUUUCCCCACACAUACGGACUCUAAAAAUAGCCUAUACUUAUGUAUUUCGAAAUUACAUGGGCCUGGCCCAAUAAUAAGGUGACGCAGCACCUAGAAUAGCCUCGGGACGAAAUUUAUGAAGUGGCAUCUUGUAUAUUUCGUCCAAGGCUUCAUGCACCCAUUAUGGUGGCUUCAAAGUCCUGAAAUCAUCACUUGUAACUCCGUUCUUGUUUCCCUUGCGCAUGCCAUCAUCUCCAUGCUUGUUCUUGCUCCAAUGUUCAUCCUUCUCCAAGCUAGGCCCUUCAUUUGUAAGCUAAACAAAUGAUAGAGGCAAAGGUGUCCCGUCUUUCGAUGAGAUGGUGGAUUUCGCUUUGGUGGAAGUCGACUUUGACGAUCCGACUACGAACGUGCGAGGACGUCGCGCCUUAGCAAUCGCUAAACCAACUCCGAGAGGUUAUUGACCACGCCGGAGCACGAUCAACCUGACCACGAGGGUCUGUUUCCUGCGAGCAAAC